rnacentral:rRNA from 1 species
CCUACGGGAGGCAGCAGUGGGGAAUUUUGGACAAUGGGGGCAACCCUGAUCCAGCAAUGCCGCGUGAGUGAAGAAGGCCUUCGGGUUGUAAAGCUCUUUUGUCAGGGAAGAAACGGUGAUCUCUAAUACAGAUUACUAAUGACGGUACCUGAAGAAUAAGCACCGGCUAACUACGUGCCAGCAGCCGCGGUAAUACGUAGGGUGCAAGCGUUAAUCGGAAUUACUGGGCGUAAAGCGUGCGCAGGCGGUUAUAUAAGUCAGAUGUGAAAUCCCCGGGCUCAACCUGGGAACUGCAUUUGAGACUGUAUGGCUAGAGUGUGUCAGAGGGGGGUAGAAUUCCACGUGUAGCAGUGAAAUGCGUAGAUAUGUGGAGGAAUACCGAUGGCGAAGGCAGCCCCCUGGGAUAACACUGACGCUCAUGCACGAAAGCGUGGGGAGCAAACAGGAUUAGAUACCCUGGUAGUCCACGCCCUAAACGAUGUCUACUAGUUGUCGGGUCUUAAUUGACUUGGUAACGCAGCUAACGCGUGAAGUAGACCGCCUGGGGAGUACGGUCGCAAGAUUAAAACUUAAGGAAUUGACGG